UGGGGAAUUUUGGACAAUGGGCGCAAGCCUGAUCCAGCCAUGCCGCGUGCAGUAUGAAGGCCUUCGGGUUGCAAACUGCUUUUGUACGGAACGAAAAGACUCUGGUUAAUACCUGGGGUCCAUGACGGUACCGUAAGAAUAAGCACCGGCUAACUACGUGCCAGCAGCCGCGGUAAUACGUAGGGUUCGAGCGUUAAUCGGAAUUACUGGGCGUAAAGCGUGCGCAGGCGGUUAUGUAAGACAGAUGUGAAAUCCCGGGGCUCAACCUGGGAAAUGCAUUUGUGACUGAAUAGCUAGAGUACGGGAGAGGGGGAUGGAAUUGCGCGUGUAGCAGUGAAAUGCGUAGAUAUGCGGAGGAACACCGAUGGCGAAGGCAAUCCACUGGGCCUGUACUGACGCUCAGGCACGAAAGCGUGGGGAGCAAACA
rnacentral:rRNA from 1 species